GCCCCCAUCGUCUAGUGGACCAGGACGCAGCCCUUUCAAGGCUAAAACCGGGGUUCGAAUCCCCGUGGGGGCACCA
rnacentral:tRNA from 1 species